rnacentral:rRNA from 1 species
GACGAACCGUGCGAACGUUAUUCGGAAUCACUGGGCUUAAAGCGUGCGUAGACGGUUAUGUAAGUCGGAUGUGAAAGCCCCGGGCUUAACCUGGGAAUGGCAUUCGAGACUGCAUAGCUAGGAUGCGGAAGAGGGAAGUGGAAUUUCCGGUGUAGCGGUGAAAUGCGUAGAUAUCGGAAGGAACACCAGUGGCGAAAGCGACUUCCUGGUCCAGCAUCGACGUUCAGGCACGAAAGCGUGGGGAGCAAACAGG